UUUUCAUGCUAGGGGUGCCUGCAUAGGCUGAGAUUACACCCUUAACACCUGAAUCCGGGUAAUACCGGCGGAGGGAAGCUGUUUAUCGAGGAA
rfam:Scytonema millei VB511283 scaffold_56, whole genome shotgun sequence.